rnacentral:rRNA from 1 species
AUUGAACGCUGGCGGCAGGCCUAACACAUGCAAGUCGAGCGCCCCGCAAGGGGAGCGGCAGACGGGAGAGUAACACGUGGGAACGUACCCUUCGGUUCGGAACAACCCAGGGAAACUUGGGCUAAUACCGGAUACGUCCGAAAGGAGAAAGAUUUAUCGCCGAGGGAUCGGCCCGCGUCUGAUUAGCUAGUUGGUGAGGUAACGGCUCACCAAGGCGACGAUCAGUAGCUGGUCUGAGAGGAUGAUCAGCCUCACUGGGACUGAGACACGGCCCAGACUCCUACGGGAGGCAGCAGUGGGGAAUAUUGGACAAUGGGCGCAAGCCUGAUCCAGCCAUGCCGCGUGGGUGAUGAAGGCCCUAGGGUUGUAAAGCCCUUUCGGCGGGGAAGAUAAUGACGGUACCCGCAGAAGAAGCCCCGGCUAACUUCGUGCCAGCCGCCGCAGUAACAC